UCCUUCUGACCAAGCAACUAUUCCUGAGCGUGUUGCUUCUCCUGAUCAAGCAACUAUUCCUGAAUCACUGCAUCAUUUGCACCUCAUCUAUUGCCUGCUUGCACAGGUAGAGUGCCUGUAACCCCUGGAGAGGGAGCCUGUGCUUCUCAAGAGAUCCAGCUCCACUCAUCCAUCAUGAACCUCUUUGCUCAGCCUGUACCAGGAGAGAUGGGAGCUCCUUUGCCUUCCUCCCCUGCAGCCUGGAGCCAGCAGCUCUGUCUGGAUCCUGAUGUUGGUUCAGCAUCAGGCUCACAAGGAUGGAACAGUGCUGGUGCCAGUCCCAGUGCCACAGAUAUAACCUCCCUGGAUGCAUGCCAUUCCAUGCCCAGCUGCUUAAAGCACAAAGGUUUGCUGCUGUGGGCAGGCUGUACACA